rnacentral:rRNA from 1 species
AUUGAACGCUGGCGGCAUGCCUUACACAUGCAAGUCGAACGGCAGCACGGGUGCUUGCACCUGGUGGCGAGUGGCGAACGGGUGAGUAAUACAUCGGAACAUGUCCUGUAGUGGGGGAUAGCCCGGCGAAAGCCGGAUUAAUACCGCAUACGAUCUACGGAUGAAAGCGGGGGACCUUCGGGCCUCGCGCUGUAGGGUUGGCCGAUGGCUGAUUAGCUAGUUGGUGGGGUAAAGGCCUACCAAGGCGACGAUCAGUAGCUGGUCUGAGAGGACGACCAGCCACACUGGGACUGAGACACGGCCCAGACUCCUACGGGAGGCAGCAGUGGGGAAUUUUGGACAAUGGGCGAAAGCCUGAUCCAGCAAUGCCGCGUGUGUGAAGAAGGCCUUCGGGUUGUAAAGCACUUUUGUCCGGAAAGAAAUCCUUGGCUCUAAUACAGUCGGGGGAUGACGGUACCGGAAGAAUAAGCACCGGCUAACUACGUG